GAGAGAGAGAGAGAGAGAGAGAGAGAGAGAGAGAGAGAGAGAGAGAGAGUGCGAGAACUGCAGAAGAAGGGGUGUAUGAGACAUCGUUUUCACAUGGAGCUGAUCACUUUGAUUCCAACAUAUCUAAUAAGGCAAAAAACA